CACGCGUUCAUAGUGUCGAGUCGACUCAAAGGGUGGAUAGAAAGCAGGCUAGUUGGUGAGAAAGGAGGUGGAACAAUCGGGCAAAUUUCCUCUGAUACUGAUUAUAGCAUGGCAAUAGCAUUGGUUAGAUUUGAAUUCGAGUUCGCAAAGGAUUCCUUGCCACGAUGAGGUGUGCAUAAUUAAAGAAUGCAGAGAUAAAUUUAGAGGUGAAUCGAAUGGAUAUAUAAUUUUUCGUUCUUAAUUUGGUCCAGUUUCCAAACUCAUCAGGCUAAUGGUCGAUGUUAUAAUUAUCGAUGCUUGGACGAAAUGUUAUUUUUGGCAUCGUUCGUGUGGAAUACACCGAGACGACAAAUCAUUUUCGAUCACGAGGAAAUAGUAAAUGCUAAUCGAACGAAUCCUUAAA